GACAGAGGUGCCGAGCGUUAGUCGGAAUCACUGGGCUUAAAGCGUGUGUAGGCGGAUCGUUAAGUGCCUUGUGAAAUCCCACGGCUCAACCGUGGAACGGCUGGGUAUACUGCCUGUCUUGAGCCAGCUAGGGGCGACCGGAACAGACGGUGGAGCGGUGAAAUGCGUAGAUAUCGUCUGGAACGCCAAAGGUGAAAACAGGUCGCUGGGGCUGAGCUGACGCUGAGACACGAAAGCCAGGGGAGCGAACGGG
rnacentral:rRNA from 1 species